rnacentral:rRNA from 1 species
AUACGUAGGGGGCGAGCGUUGUCCGGAAUGAUUGGGCGUAAAGGGCGCGUAGGCGGCCCGGUAAGUCUGGAGUGAAAGUCCUGCUUUUAAGGUGGGAAUUGCUUUGGAUACUGUCGGGCUUGAGUGCAGGAGAGGUAAGUGGAAUUCCCAGCGUAGCGGUGAAAUGCGUAGAGAUUGGGAGGAACACCAGUGGCGAAGGCGACUUACUGGACUGUAACUGACGCUGAGGCGCGAAAGUGUGGGGAGCAAACAGGAUUAGAUACCCUGGUAGUCCACACUGUAAACGAUGAAUGCUAGGUGUAGGGGGUAUCGACCCCUUCUGUGCCGCAGUUAACACAAUAAGCAUUCCGCCUGGGGAGUACGGCCGCAAGGUUGAAACUCAAAUGAAUUGACGGGG